rnacentral:snoRNA from 8 species
AAGACUAUACUUUCAGGGAUCAUUUCUAUAGUUCGUUACUUGAGAAAUGUGUGUCUAAAGUGGUAGGUCUCGCUAUCCAUGAUGACGAUUCAAGAUAUUCCCGUUCAGAGCAUGAAUCUGGUGGCUAGAUAUGACUUUGCUCAUGUUUCUUCCACCUUUGAUGAUCUUU